AAGGGAGACCUAAUUCCGGUAGGAGACGAAAAAAAGGUAGUCCCUACCAAGAAUCAAUCCCAAAAGGUCGGAACGAGGUAUGUGGCUUUCAAACUAGGUUCUGGGUUCACAAAAGACCUGAAUCAGGAACAAGGGCUAUUAGCUCAGGUGGUUAGAGCGCACCCCUGAUAAGGGUGAGGUCCCUGGUUCGAGUCCAGGAUGGCCCACCUGCACAGGUGGCAAAAACAAGAGAAACGAGGAAUCAGCACCUUAUCUUACUUACAUAGUAAGAGAGAAUGCUGGCUCUGAGUAAAGAGUCCAGAGGAACCUUGAAAACUGCAUAGAGCUAGGUGAAAAAGCCAAAAAAGAAGACCGCAA
rnacentral:tRNA from 1 species